rnacentral:rRNA from 1 species
CGGAGAUUUGAAAAGCUUGCUUUUAAAUCUUAGCGGCGGACGGGUGAGUAACACGUGGGCAACCUGCCCUUGAGACGGGGAUAACUCCGGGAAACCGGAGCUAAUACCGGAUAACACAUAUCUUCGCAUGAGGAUAUGUUAGAAGGUGGCUUUUAGCUACCACUCAAGGAUGGGCCCGCGGCGCAUUAGCUAGUUGGUGAGGUAACGGCUCACCAAGGCGACGAUGCGUAGCCGACCUGAGAGGGUGAUCGGCCACACUGGGACUGAGACACGGCCCAGACUCCUACGGGAGGCAGCAGUAGGGAAUCUUCCGCAAUGGACGAAAGUCUGACGGAGCAACGCCGCGUGAGUGAUGAAGGUUUUCGGAUCGUAAAGCUCUGUUGUUAGGGAAGAACAAGUACCUGUUAAAUAAGCAGGUACCUUGACGGUACCUAACCAGAAAGCCACGGCUAACUACGUGCCAGCAGCCGCGGUAAUACGUAGGUGGCAAGCGUUGUCCGGAAUUAUUGGGCGUAAAGCGCGCGCAGGCGGUUCCUUAAGUCUGAUGUGAAAGCCCACGGCUCAACCGUGGAGGGUCAUUGGAAACUGGGGAACUUGAGUGCAGAAGAGGAGAGCGGAAUUCCACGUGUAGCGGUGAAAUGCGUAGAGAUGUGGAGGAACACCAGUGGCGAAGGCGGCUCUCUGGUCUGUAACUGACGCUGAGGCGCGAAAGCGUGGGGAGCGAACAGGAUUAGAUACCCUGGUAGUCCACGCCGUAAACGAUGAGUGCUAAGUGUUA